UCAUAGGGCAAAUGAAACAGAUGUGAAGGCUUCAUCCUGCAAGAUUGUGAAGUCGCCGUGAGCUUCAGGGUGCUUCGACUGCUCAUUAAGAACAUGUCUAGUAAUCGUCAUUAGGUCUGUCCUCUGUGCUUCGCCUGUGUGAUCCAUUAAUCAUGCUUCAUUACUGCAUCUACGAACAGGUUCCAAAGAAAGGAAAGAUCUAUUCAACAAAUGAAGGAAAUGCCCAGUAUUGGGAUGAACCAACCACAAAGUAUGUUGAAAAUAGCAAGUUCCCUAAGGAUGGUUCAUCACCAAAGUCCCUAAGAUACAUUGGAAGGUAUACAGUUUUUUGGCAUUACAAGUUUUAUCGCCAUGUCAGCAUGUCAAUCUGUGCCUAUGUAUCAAGGGUUGAGAGAUCUGUGCGUAUGUAUUAAGGCUCUGAUUCAACAUAAGGUUUUCACUAAAAGGGCGCGUGUAGUUUACCACAUUCGGAGGCGUUUCCAUUAUAAAACGGUGUCGUUUUUCUUAAUAGAAUAUGCGGCGUUUAUAAAACGCCGUUAAAUACUAAUAACAGUGACGUUUACAGAAACGUCGUUAACAAAACGCCAUCAAAUCCCCAUUUUCCUGUAGUGACUGUACUGUUAUUACUUGCAGAUGUGUUAUUUGUGGUCCUACAAGUUGCACCAACUUGCAAAAUCAAAGUUAAAAGUGUCCACGAUAAUGCUUGCACUGAGUCUUUCUUGCAAGAGGCUGUUAUCAUAGAUAAAGAGUAAGCCCCAAACCAACUCAUUCACAAAUCAUUACAGUAUUCUAUUCAAACUCUAACAAAUCUUACUUGCAGCAUUAAACCUAUGAUAUUGACAUUGUGGGAGCAAUUCGAGCCGAACAAGGGAACUGCAAUUUCCAACAUGCCAAGUCAAUUUCCAAUUGUGAUUGGAAUAAGAUUAAAAGCAACAAACUAUAAUG